UCCCUUCUUUUUAGGUAUUAUCAAGAAACAUUAGAUUACAUUUCCCCGAAGUUGCUAUUUCCUCUUCUCCCCCUUUGUCGUAUACUUUCUGGGUUGGGCUCCUGUUCUCCUCGAGAGGAUUCGUGUUCCUCAACCCUCAAUGCAGAGAUAUGCAGUGAUUUCCAUCUUUGAAAAACUCCGAUCUGCUCCGUCAAACCUAGGCGCAAACUCCGAUUCUGGAAGAGAUGCUAUUUCUCAGUGUCUUCACUCCACUUCUGCUGCCGUCGUCGUCGAUUAGUCUGUUCGGGAACUUUGCCGCUUCGUUCCCCAUGGUUUACUUGAACUUCAAUCGGAUCUCGACGGCUGCGACUCGCGUUUCGUCAAUGUUUUCGUCAAAGGGUUAGGGUUUCUUGUUCGCUUAGCAUUUCAGAAGAACGAUACGUUGUGUCGGUUGGAUUCUCCGGAGACUCAUCCCUUCGUCAAGGUCGUUUCAUGUCGAACUGCGAUUCAAGCGGAGCUCGUACAGCAAGUGCUCUUGUUAAUAGCGCAGAACAAGCGCACGGGACUUGUGGAAGUUUGUAAAUUCUUGAGGCCGUUCUUGAAUUUCUCGAUAUUGAGGGUAUCUUCAUCUGCUUCAUCGUUUUCGUUCACAAGGCUUUUGGUUUCCUCCAUUGCGUCACUGUCUUGUUUGUUUCCAUUCGAAGCUAUGCUCAUUGUCAAGUUGAUGAUGGAAUGCUUCAAAUAUUUUCCGCGGAAAAAAUGCAGAAAUUCUUAAAGUUUGAAGGAUUUAUCAGGACAUGAAAAAUCUCAUUGACGUUGCUGAAUAUCUGGUGGAUGCAUUUACGUGAGGCAGGUGGUUGGAACUGGAUCGUUGAUCAAAGAGGUUCAACUAUGCUGCGUCUUGGAAACUCUUCUAUCAUUUUAUAAUGAUUUCACAAGCUUUCUGGUGGGUGUGAGCCCAUUUUCAAACUGUCAAAGAGUGUACUGCUCGUUCAGAAAGAGCUUGGAUGGCCGUACAUACCAGAAUUGUUAUCAGUGAAGAUGUCCUUAUUUCUCUUACUUACUCAAGCAGAAUUUGAACAUGAACUCUCAGUUUUCUUGUUUAAGUGGAAAAUUGAAAUUGGUACGUCUCAUUUAUUUGUGCUGACCAGCGCUUGCUGAAUUUGUUCUAUUUCAGUGUUCUAUUCCCCUCCCCUUCCUGAGUGGGAACGAGAAUUAGUUAAAGAUACUUUAUUAUAUUUUUAAUCCUCUUCACCCCCUAGGCAUGCCAAUAACUAAAAUGAAAAAAGGGAAUGUCAAUGCAUUCAGAAAUAGAAAAUUGAUUUCUAUCAAUAGGCUUCUGAAUUUAUUAAACCGUAGAUUACAGAGCUUUAUUAAUUUCUUUUUCUGGUUAAAACUGUCUUGGUUACAUUGCUGGACAAUUAUUAGAAAAUCCUGCUCAUGGUUUUAUUUUAGAGAAUUUCAUUAGUGGCAAUAAUCACAAUUAAGUCAUGCCACGUUACUUUGCCAGCUUGGCUAUGGACUGGUUGACUUUUUGAUUGACUGAAAGUUUAAAGGAGAGAAUUCCUCAUGGUGCUAGUUUGGGGAGGAAUCUGCACGCAACACCAAUGCUGGUGCGGAGAACGGUAUCAUCCACAUGGGACCCAUAUGGUCAGAGCAUGAGAGAAAACAAUAAAAAACCUUGUGUGAGGUAAAUAGUACCUUGGUGUUGUGGGGAACUUCUUUUUUAUUUUUUUCAAGUUUAAAUUUACUCUUUUAGACAGAACUCACCUAGUCAUGUGCUUGUAAUACUGUGCUUUUGCCAGUCUCGUAGUUUGUGUGCUUAAAAAAUUCCCAUCCUUUGUUGUGUCAGUAUAGCAUAGAUACUUCCUUUGCCAUGGCAGUGGGUGCUGUAUCAAUAUAUGAAGAAUUAUGCUGUGAUGCUAUUAUGCUUUUUGUUAAAAAAAAAAUUCCCCCCUCUCUAGGCCUUAGGAAACAUUUUAGAUUGGUCAUAUCAAUCCUUUGUAUAGGAGGACCACAUUCUUGUCAAAAGAUACCUCUCUAGAUGUGCUUGUCUAAGGAAAAACAAAAUGAUUUUGUUUCAUUGUUGUUUUUAUUUUGCUUCCUUAGUUGUUUCUACAUGUUUGUGAAAGACUAAGACACUGUUAUCAGAAAACUGUGCAGUGAAUAGAGUAUUCUGGGUAUUGUUGAACUUGUAACAAAUUUUACAUUCUCCAUUUCUUUGAUGCCUUCCUCAAUUUAAAUGUCCGUAAAGUCUGGGUACUUCUUUUCUCUUGCUUCCCCCCUUCUUAACUACUCCCAUUUUAUAUUAGAUUUUUAUUUGGUUAUCUUUGUAGGGCUUUUACUCCUAGGCUGUACUAUGUUUUCCAGGUAGAUAACAUUCAGAAAAGGAUUCCUGAUUUCCAGAAAAGGAACGUAGACUUGCUUAUAUCCGAAGAUAAUCUGAUGUAUUGAGAGCCAUGGUGAAAUUUGAAGUCAAUAUUAUAACAUUUGAGUACAUGUUAGGAAUAUGUCUGCUUAUUAUUUCUGUCUCAGCUUAAAGAAUAUGACAAGGUGACAGUACUGAUAAACUCUUCUCAAUUGACCCAGCAAUCGACGCCGACUGUUGAAGGAGAAAAGAACUGCGGGGAAUAAGGUUGAAAAGUUAGUUGCUUGAUAUCUUUCCUUAGGUUAUUGUCCACUCGGGUAUCAGGAAGUUUUGGAAUUUGUUUAAUCUUUAUUCAUAAUUAAAUAGGUAGAAAAACCAUCUUUUCCUACAUUACUCGGGAGGUUGGUGUGUCAUUUGGCACCUUGAUUUUGUCAUUUAUUACUUUAUUGUAUUGGUGCCUUCUUAACAGCUUUCUUCAGUGGUAUGGGCUUCCUUGAUCUUCUCAUUGUUUUUGCAAUAUUUUAUAAUAUAAGACGACGGAUGGAGGCUUUAGAAGUUGGUAUUUGGUAUCCUCGAGUAAAUCCUGACCGCUCAAAAAAAAAAAAAAAGGGUAUGCUUGCAACUUGACUUAGGGUGGACUGGUAGGGAUCUGAAGAUAAGUCCUCAAAUCAUUAAUGUGGAGUGGAAGUUCUCCCUCAUUUGUAUCAUCUUUCAAAAUGCAAGCCACAUAUAACGCAGGUGAGACAUGCUGAUGGGUUUGAGUCAAGUAGUCAUGCAACAUGGACUUGUUGAAUUAUUUUUUUUCCAGAUUAUAACUUAAUAACGCCAAUCCUAUAUUUGAUUGUAUGGAGAAUGAGGAAAGGACCAAAAGUGAAGGGUGAUAUGGGAAGGGUUUUCACAAAUUUGAGAAGCUUGAUUUUUUGGAAAGAGAGCUUUUAAUUCCUGGGUUGUUCCUGAGCCUGGACAGCGUUUCCAAUUCAUUCCAACCUUAAAAUAGGACAAAAAUCCUUCAAACUUUGCCUCUUUCUUUUACUUUCCUUCCCAACAAAACAGCAUUGCAAAAAUGAGUUUUGUUUUAUUUUAUUUUACUUUCCUUUCCUUCACUUUCUGAUCUAGCUUUCCUCUACUUUAAUAUCUGGACAGCCGAGCAGGCCUUAGUAUUGGGCAGAAGUGAUGGGGGUGUAAGUUGGUACUGUUGUGGAUGGGGUAGAGGAAGAUAAUAAAUUACUAUCAAUAGAUCUUUUUGGUCGAAAUUUCUGUAUUCUAUCAUCCAUGGAUACUGUGUAGUUUUUCCUUUUAUUUUCUUAAUUUAUAGUUGUUGAAAGGAUGUUUUAUGUUGGCUGAUGAGUGCAUUUACUCAUAACUCUAGAUAAAAUAUUAUGCUGUAAUUUGGACUGAAAUAUUCAAUGUUUUCUUACGAGUUUCUAUAUAUACUAUUACAAAUAUUGAAGGCUAUGUAAUAGAAGAUAUAUGUUUCCCUUUUCAUGAUUUCAUCUGAAUAGAAACCUGCUAUGGGUAUUAUACUCACAAUUUAUUGUCUUUUAUUUGGCUGAUUGAUGUUAAAAUAUGUUAGUAUUUUUGGUUCAGUGAAUCAAUAAUUACUAAUUUCUCUGAUUUUUAUAUUUGUUAUGUUUAUUUGUAUAUUUCCAUAUAUCCUUGUUCCCGUAGUCAUUAUUUGCUUUUUGUAAGCAGGAAUGGAUUACAAUAGAAAUUUUCCUGGUGCAGCUCUUCUGUUACUUUUUGUCACUUCUAAAACUGUACAUAAUCAACGGACACCAUUGGUGCAUUUUAACCACAAUGUUUUAUACUUAAAUGGUUUUUUUGGAGAUUUUCUUAUAGAUUUGAAUUGGGUCAGGAGCUGUUAAACUUGCACACAACAUAUGAAAAUGCUCUAGUGGAAGUAGCUGAGUCUUUGCAGCUCUCAAGAAAUAUUCUGGUUGCACUUCUCUACUACAAUCAUGGAAACUAUUCAUGCAGCAUUGGAUGAGAGCAGUCUUUGUGUUGAUGCUAAAUUGCCAUCCACAGCGCUGGAUAAAACUUCGAAGAUUGCGAAUGAUAUCCUGAAGCUUUUGGCAGGUUAAUGCAAUGCCACUAAAAUGUGCAGAAUUGCAGAAGAAUCAUUCCUCGAUGUGCGGAGAAUAUUGCACUAGCCAUUAGGGCAUUUUGUAUGGAUAUGCAGUGGUGGAAGCUAGUUUGUGUGUGGAUUUCUGUCUUUACUAUGUUAUACAUUCACUAUUAGAAAGGCCAAGGAUCUGAGACAUGCCAGAUCUCGUUUUGAGGUUUCUACCCUGGGUUUCGUUCCGGCCAGGCCUGAAACUGAGACAACAUGGAGAUUUGGGUCAGAAUUGACAGAGAUUUAGUUCCAUGAGAAAGGCUGCCGGUGAAACUACUUUAUUUUGGUCACUGAAGUUGUUGCAUUCUGGAAAAACAGGUUUUGCCUCCAUCUGCUCAUGAAAUAACAGCGACUGCAUCAAAAUUCCUACUGAAGUGGUUGUUUCAGUAUGAACAUGAAUACAGGCAAUGGCCUGCUGCAAUUGCAUUAGGGUUGGUCUCUCGUUGUUUAUAUGCAAUUGAUUGCAGGCCAAAAUUUCAGAUCAUUGCUGGACUUCUUGAGGUACAUAGAGUUCUGCAGCAAUUCUCUAUGUAACAUUCUUGCAAAUGGUUUGCUGGAGGCAUUAACGACUAUUGGAAAGAAUUGCUAAAUUAAGUUCUUGUUUAGGUGAACGAAGCAUGAAUGCCUAAGGAAUGCAACUCCGGGUUCCGAAACAAGUCUAAUUAGGUUGCUUUGGGCCCAACAAGCAUAGUUUUUUACACAUGUAUGAAUAUGUAAGAUAUCAGGGAUAACUUUAUAUUGUUAUGCUUAUAUGCAACAUCGAAGCCAUAUCAAUGCAUUAUGUUAUAAUUAUGUUA